AGCGAACGUUAGCGGCGGGCCUAACACAUGCAAGUCGAGCGAGAAAGGGACUUCGGUCCUGAGUAAAGCGGCGGACGGGUGAGGAACACGUAGGUAACCUGCCCCUCGAUGGAGGACAACGGUCCGAAAGGACCGCUAAUACUGCAUACGUUCCCCGGGAUUCCGAUCUCGGGGAGGAAAGCCUCGCAAGGGGCGUCGAGGGAGGGGCCUGCGUCGCAUCAGCUAGUUGGUGGGGUAAUGGCCUACCAAGGCGAAGACGCGUAGCUGGUCUGAGAGGAUGAUCAGCCACACUGGGACUGAGACACGGCCCAGACUCCUACGGGAGGCAGCAGUGGGGAAUAUUGGACAAUGGGCGCAAGCCUGAUCCAGCCACGCCGCGUGAGUGAUGAAGGCCUUCGGGUCGUAAAGCUCUGUGGGGAGGGACGAACGUCCGGGUGAAGAAUCCGGGGUGACGGUACCUCCUUAGCAAGCACCGGCUAACUUCGUGCCAGCAGCCGCGGUAA
rnacentral:rRNA from 1 species